rnacentral:tRNA from 1 species
GCUGGGAUGGGGUAGUUGGUUAUCCUAGGGGAUUGUGGAUCCCCCGACUCGGGUUCAAAUCCCGGUCCCGGCC